GACAGAGGGUGCAAACGUUGUUCGGAAUUACUGGGCGUAAAGCGAGUGUAGGCGGUUUGGUAAGUCGGAUGUGAAAGCCCUGGGCUCAACCCAGGAAGUGCAUUCGAUACUGUCAAGCUAGAGUAUCGGAGAGGUUGGUGGAAUUCUCGGUGUAGAGGUGAAAUUCGUAGAUAUCGAGAGGAACACCGGUGGCGAAGGCGGCCAACUGGACGAAUACUGACGCUGAGACUCGAAAGCGUGGGGAGCAAAC
rnacentral:rRNA from 1 species